ACCUGGCUGGCUGGGUUGGAAGGGCAUGGGACUCUUGAUCUCAAGGUCGUGAGUACAAACCCCACGUUGGGUG
rnacentral:tRNA from 1 species